rnacentral:rRNA from 1 species
GAUGAACGCUGGCGGCGUGCCUAAUACAUGCAAGUCGAGCGAACAGAUGAGGAGCUUGCUCCUCUGACGUUAGCGGCGGACGGGUGAGUAACACGUGGAUAACCUACCUAUAAGACUGGGAUAACUUCGGGAAACCGGAGCUAAUACCGGAUAAUAUAUUGAACCGCAUGGUUCAAUAGUGAAAGACGGUUUUGCUGUCACUUAUCGAUGGAUCCGCGCCGCAUUAGCUAGUUGGUAAGGUAACGGCUUACCAAGGCAACGAUGCGUAGCCGACCUGAGAGGGGGAUCGGCCACACUGGAGCUGAGACACGGUCCAGACUCCUACGGGAGGCAGCAGUAGGGAAUCUUCCGCAAUGGGCGAAAGCCUGACGGAGCAACGCCGCGUGAGUGAUGAAGGUCUUCGGAUCGUAAAACUCUGUUAUUAGGGAAGAACAAAUGUGUAAGUAACUAUGCACGUCUUGACGGUACCUAAUCAGAAAGCCACGGCUAACUACGUG